CCCUCGGUCCAACCCACUUUCAGCCUGGCGCAUUAGGGGGCGCUAGUAUAAAUAGUGGCCAUUUGAGUGUCCCUGGAUCGCUUACCUGUGAGCUCCUUUUUGGUCACCUGACUUCCCUUUGGUGUUGCCGAGAUUAUUUGCGGGUUACACUUCUGAAGCCUCCAUCGCGGCUGGCAGGUGUUUACUCCUUGUAGUGUGUACAUUAUCUUACUUGGUGGUAAACGGCUAUUGUUUGUAGGUCGUAGCUGUAGAAGCCUCCUCUGAGCCAUUCUGCUCAUGCUUUAUGACGCGGCUUACUCGGAAGUGUGGGCCUUGGUUUUACGCCACGCUACGCAAACUGAAGUGCUGCUGCUUUGUUUUACUUUGUUUUUACUGUCUGUUCCGGCUGCGAGGUUUCUUUCCUACUGCUGCCAGCCGUUAAAGUGGACGUCGGCGUGGACAAUGCCACGCGGGUCGGCUGGCGUGCAUACUGAUUGACUGACUGGAUAAUUAACUUAUAGUCGUGCAGACGGCAAGUUGGAGCAAUACGGCGAUUCCGUUUGCUCCAUAUUUUAGAGUUUUAUCUAGAUUGUAUGUUGUUUUUCUGUUGUUUUGAUUUGUAGUUUGUAUUUUUGUUACGCCACUGGUGGGAGGCCCUUUUUCUAGCUGUAGAUCACCACUGUGGUCCUGCAGAGCUACACAUUAGUUUGUUGUAAUAUAUUAAAAUUUUCUUUGUUUCUUUUAUUCAGAUGCGGAGCACCGACGUGGAGGAGACUAGGGUGCCUUGGUGGUGGGAUCCUUUGAGUGUACACACCUGCCUUGUUUAGUUUAUUAGUGAGUGUGUGAUAGUGUGCUGCACUUGUGUCUUGGUGUGUUUUCUUUUUUUUGACUUUGUGUGUGGCAUCCCUGCCCCUCCACUGGUAAGCCUCAGCUCUGAAUACCUUUUUAAGCAUACUUCUACACUGAUAUUGAUGACUGUGUUUUUAUACGUUGUUUUAAUUAAUAAAUUGUCAACUUAUUUUAUCAUUGAA